GUCCGGUUUUGAAGACGAGUCGCUCUGGCGACGGAGCGGCUUAGUUUACUAAAGACUCACCAGCAGAUGCGUAGCCAGUUUGCUGCUCUGAGAUCGAAUAGUUAAACAUCUUUACGAGGGGUAAAGCAGUGCUAUUUGAAAGUACUACCUUUAAACAUUGGCGAGGCUAAUAUCACCCGAAAGG
rnacentral:sRNA from 1 species